CGUCCUGCACUUUGCUACCAUGGAAUAUUUGAAAAGGCCCAUUGGAUUUACUAAUAAUUUCGUUCAUGAUAACAUGCAAAGUGUAGAUACAGCUUUCAAUACCAGUGGUGUCCUGAAUACAGCUACUGGUAUUGACACAGCUCUAUCUUCAGUGGCGAAAGCAGUCUGGACUGGUAGAAGCGUGGGAAGGAUUAUUUUUGAAAGUGUUUCAGUCUGCUAUGAAUCAUCAUAAUCCAUACAUCGCAUGAACCUGCUCUCCGACACCAGUACAAGGAGAUGAUCGAGGGUGAACAAGCAACACUUCAGCUUGAAUUGUCUGGAGCCUGGUGUUGUUGUGGCCAUGGACCUUUCACUCAGAUGGAUCCAGGUCAGCUGCUGUGCAAUGUUGACUUCCUUCCAGAGAUGUGAACGCAUCCCCCGGACUGGACAAAGCAAACAUAUAUUUUUGAGAAGAUCAGGACUUUUGCAAUGAAAAGGCUAUGGCCAUGACAUGUCUUGCUCCGAAGAGUAGGACAGAACUACGCUUUCAGGCACAUGACCUGAACAUGACCUGAAUGACCUGAACCAAAGUUACUCAAAGGAUCUUAUGAUAUAGGGUCUAGAUAUUGUUUUUACCUAAGUCUUUAUGCGUUUUAGUUUGUUUCUCAUUGUAGGCUACUACCUUUAACACUUACGUUAACGAAGUAUUUUAUUGUUGAAAUCUUUUCUUCGUUUUUUUUUAAAGCUCUACCUCACUGCCUUAUCACAUGGCCACAUUCACGUGUUCCAAUGUGAAUCCUUUAAGAGAUGGGUGGGUCUAAGGCUCUAGAGGGUGUGAAUGAGUAAAUAAAGAACAGCACUGUAGCUGUUCAAUGCGAAAGGUUAUCUUCAUUAUACAACAACAGGCAAUGUAAUACUGUAAAUGGUUUGCCUAAUGGGGUAACUUUCUGAGAUAAAUGUUCAGAGAAUCCAUUUUGGCAAUUUGGUGAAAGUAUUCAUUUUCCAAAUAUGUUUCCCAAGGAUUAAUGUAGAGUAAGUGUGAAAAUGGCACAAUGUUAGCGUUCCUUUUUCUCCUAAAUGGGAUUAUACGUUCAUCAACUUUUAAAGCGGCGUUACUUCCCCAUGUUUCCUGCAACCACAGUGUAUGAUAUGCCAUUUUGAAGCUCUGAGUCUGUACUUUUACCCAACGUACAAAACACUGUUUCAAAUGUCGGAACAUAAGACUGAAAAGAGACGGUGGGUCACAGAUGUUGUUAUUCUUUCCUAUGAAUAUGGGAGAUGGAGACCAAUGAAUGAAUCGUGACUCGGUUACAAGAUCCCUGCUGAGAUCCCGCUGUGAGACAAAGAUCCAUGUGACGGUCGGAUGCCACCCCAUAUAGUGCUUUUCUGCCAGGUCACCCCAAGGCCCUGUCCUAUUACAACCUGCUCCUCAGAACCACACGUGACAUCAGGGCUGCUGUGAUGGGACUGCAGGGAACAGGGUUUCCGUUCCUAGGGAACAGUAAAGUCAUUUUUUCUCUCCCUUUUCUCCUCAUCCCUCUCUAUCCCCCACUCUAAAAGGGACUGCAUCUGUGCACUGUGAACCAGGAAAUAGAUGCCCAUGUAAAUAAAAAUACUGAGAUAUCUGAGAUCGGUGAUAUUGAUAUGUGAUAGAAGGAAUCGCUGCACAUGGUGAGGGCGUGGCUAUUUCCACCUUCCACGUGUAAAGACAUCGAUUUUCAAAUUCUAUCUUGUUUUCAUUAUCUCUGGCGACAUGAGAGCAUGCAGGGUGCACUUUAAAGCCAGCUAACGUAAACAAAGACAUACUGUACC